rnacentral:rRNA from 1 species
UCCGUAGCCGGUUUAGCAAGUUCUUGGUAAAAUCGAGUAGCUUAACUAUUCGUAUGCUAGGAAAACUACUUUACUAGAGGGCGGGAAAGGUCUGAGGUACUACAAGGGUAGGGGUGAAAUCUUAUGAUCCUUGCAGGACCACCAGUGGCGAAGGCGUCAGACUGGAACGCGCCUGACGGUGAGGGACGAAAGCUAGGGGAGCGAACCGGAUUAGAUACCCGGGUAGUCCUAGCCGUAAACGAUGCAUACUAGGUGAUGGUACGGCCAUGAGCCGCAUCAGUGCCGUAGGGAAACCGUUAAGUGUGCCGCCUGGGAAGUACGGUCGCAAGGCUGAA